rnacentral:rRNA from 1 species
CGGCAACAGCUCAAAUUUGAAAGCUGGCCUCGCGGCCCGCGUUGUAAUUUGCAGAGGAUGCUUCGGGUGAGGUGCCUACCGAGUGCCCUGGAACGGGACGCCAUAGAGGGUGAGAGCCCCGUCUGGUGGGACACCGCAGCCCGUGUGAAGCUCCUUCGA